rnacentral:rRNA from 1 species
CGCAGCAGGCGCGAAAACUUUACAAUGCGGGAAACCGUGAUAAGGGGACACCGAGUGCCAGCAUCAUGUGUUGGCUGUCCAGAUGUGUAAAAUACAUCUGUUAGCAAGGGCCGGGCAAGACCGGUGCCAGCCGCCGCGGUAACACCGGCGGCCCGAGUGGUGAUCGUGAUUAUUGGGUCUAAAGGGUCCGUAGCCGGUUUGGUCAGUCCUCCGGGAAAUCUGACGGCUCAACCGUUAGGCUUUCGGUGGAUACUGCCAGACUUGGAACCGGGAGAGGUAAGAGGUACUACAGGGGUAGGAGUGAAAUCUUGUAAUCCCUGUGAGACCACCUGUGGCGAAGGCGUCUUACCAGAACGGGUUCGACGGUGAGGGACGAAAGCUGGGGGCACGAACCGGAUUAGAUACCCGGGUAGUCCCAGCCGUAAACGAUGCUCGCUAGGUGUCAGGCAUGGCGCGACCGUGUCUGGUGCCGCAGGGAAGCCGUGAAGCGAGCCACCUGGGAAGUACGGCCGCAAGGCUGAAACUUAA